rnacentral:rRNA from 1 species
GAUGAACGCUGGCGGCGUGCCUAAUACAUGCAAGUCGAGCGAACGGACGAGAAGCUUGCUUCUCUGAUGUUAGCGGCGGACGGGUGAGUAACACGUGGAUAACCUACCUAUAAGACUGGGAUAACUUCGGGAAACCGGAGCUAAUACCGGAUAAUAUUUUGAACCGCAUGGUUCAAAAGUGAAAGACGGUCUUGCUGUCACUUAUAGAUGGAUCCGCGCUGCAUUAGCUAGUUGGUAAGGUAACGGCUUACCAAGGCAACGAUGCAUAGCCGACCUGAGAGGGUGAUCGGCCACACUGGAACGUAGACACGGUCCAGACUCCUACGGGAGGCAGCAGUAGGGAAUCGUCCGCAAUGGGCGAAAGCCUGACGGAGCAACGCCGCGUGAGUGAUGAAGGUCUUCGGAUCGUAAAACUCUGUUAUUAGGGAAGAACAUAUGUGUAAGUAACUGUGCACAUCUUGACGGUACCUAAUCAGAAAGCCACGGCUAACUACGUG